GGCUUCGCCGUUUCCACACAUUGCAUUGCACCGCACAGAACUUUUCAAUUCUCUCUCUCUCCCUCGAAAGAGUUCAGACAGGAAAGGUUUUUCAGAGAGAGAAAUGAAAGAAAGGCAUGGAUAUCUGCAAGGUAAUCCGCAAGUGGAAUUCAAGUACUAUUGCUUCAACAGUACUAUUUCAGGAAAUAUUGCACGUGAUCAUGAAGAAGUUGAAGAAGAAGAAGAAGAAGACUACUGUACUAUGGAUGCGAUGAUCUACUUCUUAUUGGCCAAGCAAUUGGGUUGUUCAUGAUGUUAAUUGGGUGCUAUCCUACCUGAGCUUGAUAUAUUUUAUUUGUUUUUUUUAAUUUUCUUGUUUAUUCUGAUCUUAAUUUCAUUUUCCUUUUCCUUUCUUCCAUUUUCUUGACCUUGUAAGACCUUUUCUUGACCUUGUAAGACCCCACUUUGUAUUUCUUGUUUUUGUUUUCCGUCUCCCAUUGAACUCUACACAAUCAUCCAUUGAUGUAGAGAUCAAUCAUUUCUCUUUCUUCUUCCCUUCCAACUCAUCUUCUCCUUCCUUAUCUAUCCCUCCUGAGCUGCCUCAACCCCCUCCAUAUACCAUUCAUGGAGAGACUAAUUACUUUAAGUUCCCAUGUGGGUUUACUUUCUUACCUUCUUUUACAUGCAUGUACCAUACUUUUGUGUUGUUUUGUAGCUGUAAAAAACCUCGCUUUCUUAUUCUGUUAAGGACAGCAAUGCUUAGAUUGGUAUUAUGUGUGUUUUGCAGUUAGGCUUCAGUUUUUUUUUUCUUUGUCAUAUGUGUUGUUUGCCUGAGAAGAAUUGUAAGUGCACUAGAGAGAAUAAUAUCUCAUCUGUUCUUUUUUCAGAUUAUUAUGAUGAUGAUCAUGAGUUCCUCUCGUGACCACUCUCUGCCCUCUCUUGUAGUCUUAUAUGUGUACCUUAUUUUCCACUGUAUUAUUGGGUCCC